GUCAGUCUCGCCGGGCGCUCCUUCCCUGCGCCCCUGUCUGGAAAAGAGGAGACCUGGAAGCCGGGUUAAACUUUAACACGGGUCGGGCACAGAGCAGGGGGAAUCAGCUACUCUGUGCCAAGCUGGUCAGAGCUCUGCGGGCUGCCGUCCUUGGCCAAGAGCGUGUGGGCUCGCUCCGGUCUCUGCCCAGGCUGGUAAACAAGGGCGUGGAAAAGAUACCCCAGUCUGCGGUGACGAGGACUCCAGUGCCCGAAGUGCAGCUCGCCCAGCCCUAGCUCAGUGCCGAGCUCUUAGUGUGGACUGGGCUGGCCCCGGAAGCCCCCACGGGCUCUACCUGACCCUGCAGAGACAGGGUUUCGCCAUGCUGGCCAUGCUGGUCUCGAACUCCUGACCUCAGGUGAUCCACCUGCCUCAGCCUCUCAAAGUGCUGGGAUUACAGGUGUGAGCCACUGUACCCAGCAGGAAUAUUCCUAAAUAUAAGAGGUAGAACACCUGAAGGAGAAGCUCAUUAGCCAGGCCCAGGAAGUGAGCCGACUGCGAUCUGAGCUGGGGGGCACCGACUUGGAGAAGCACCG
rnacentral:sRNA from 1 species